GGAAUGCCUUACGGUUGAAAGCUUUAGCGUCUGAGGAUGGGUCUGCGGCCGAUUAGGUAGUUGCUGGGGUAACGUCCCAACAAGCCGAUAAUCGGUACGGGUUGUGAGAGCAAGAGCCCGGAGAUGGAUUCUGAGACACGAAUCCAGGUCCUACGGGGCGCAGCAGGCGCGAAAACUUUACACUGCGCGAAAGCGCGAUAAGGGGACCUCGAGUGCGUGCGCAAAGCGUACGCUUUUCAGAUGCCUAAAAAGCAUCUGGAAUAAGGGCCGGGCAAGACCGGUGCCAGCCGCCGCGGUAACACCGGCGGCUCAAGUGGUGGCCGCUAUUAUUGGGCUUAAAGGGUCCGUAGCCGGACCAGUUAGUCCCUUGGGAAAUCUUACGGCUUAACCGUAAGGCUGCCAAUGGAUACUGCUGGUCUUGGGACCGGGAGAGGCAAGAGGUACCUCAGGGGUAGGAGUGAAAUCCUGUAAUCCUUGAGGGACCGCCAGUGGCGAAGGCGUCUUGCUAGAACGGGUCCGACGGUGAGGGACGAAAGCUAGGGGCACGAACCGGAUUAGAUACCCGGGUAGUCCUAGCCGUAAACGAUGCGAGCUAGGUGUCACGUGGAUUGCGAAUCCAUGUGGUGCCGAAGGGAAACCGUGAAGCUCGCCGCCUGGGAAGUACGGCCGCAAGGCUGAAACUUAAAGGAAUUGGCGGGGGAGCAC
rnacentral:rRNA from 1 species